ACAAGCCUGUAUCUCCAUACGGUGGUUAUAGUGGUCAGCUCCGCAGCUGUGUGUACCAGCCCACAGAACUAGCUCUAAUCACCAAGAGCCUGGCAAAUAGGGACCCGUCCCAUGAGACUGGCCUCCCCAGGGCCACGGCCCCCCCUCUAAACCAGAGCAGCAGCUCCCUGCCUCGCUCCCUAGUGCCCCUACCCACCACAGGACUGUCCCCAGCAGUCAGUGGAAAUGGUGUGUAUAAGAAGCCUCUGUGGUGAAUCUACGCUACGCUACUACAACCUGGUUCCUGUUCUAGACCCUCCCCCUAUUCUACUCUGUGCUCUCGUUUCCCCUGCAGCCCCUGGGUGUGUUUGUCAGGAUUGGACCCUGAGAAAACCCAGAGCCUUUGACCACUGUAGAGGCCAGGCUGUUCUGUACAUACAGUAGGGCUGGAGGGAGCCAGUGUCAGAGGAGAGGCCACAGUCUUGGUGRUGUGCACCCAGAACAAGUGUGUCUCUCAUCUCCCUGUGUCUCACCCAGUCUGUCCUAGUGGCAGUACUAGCCACCCUCUACCUACCCAUCUCCCAAGCCAGCACUCCCCACCCCACAACGCCAUGCACUGAUGGGAGAUCCAACCAACACAGCAGUGUGGCCAGAGUGAAUGGACAAUGAGGCAGUUAAGAUAAAUUUGUUGCACAGCCAUAAAAACCUUUCAGUCUAAGCCCUGUAAAAAAAUCUAAAGUAAGUUUGUUCUGAA